GACUGUUUUACUUAGCAGAGUCCUGGUGUCUCAGAGGUUACUUCAAGCAAACAAAGGAGAAAAAGAAGCCAUAGCGGAGGCAAGCACUGGAGACUCCAAAGAUACAUAACCACAGUGGAUUGGAUCCAGGAAUCAGUCACACUUAGAACAAGUUUUGAAAAAGAACCAUAACGAUCCAGAAGAAAGCCACGGGAACCACCCAAAAAUGACACACUGCUGUCUGAUUUUCAGAAUAUUAAGAGAAACUGAAGUCUUAACUGAAGGAAUCCCAAGGAAAAUAUGUGUGACUUCUAUCUGAGAUACAGUGGCCUGUUCAGUAUUCCCAACAUGGUGUGUUGGAGUGUUGAGCUGAAAGAGAUACCAAGACAUGAUACCAGCCUUUAAAAGAACCACUAUAGGAUACACAUAAUCGUCAAUAGAGAGAAGAGUGUUGUGUGAGAGCACAUCUGGUUCUGCUCAUACUGCUUCCUUCAAGACACUUUGGAAGCCCUCAAGAAUCCUAUGUAUUGCAGGAAGCAUCCUUGAAGAAUUCUGAACAGGACACUGGUUAUCAAUGUUAUAAAUCAUAUUAGACUGUAGAUUGCUCUUG